rnacentral:misc_RNA from 1 species
ACAUUCUCAACCCCGCUGGGUUUUCCCGGUAGCUGGGCUUUUGGAUCGUGAUCCGUCUGCCGGCCGCCUUUUCUCGGUCUGGCUCGGUCGAAAAGCACGAGUGGCUGAUUUGCCCUGAUCCGGCCUCACUCGGCGUGAUAAUCAUUUCUUCGCCGAUGACGGGAGGGUGCAAAGGCUGCUGCAAACUUCCCCCUACUGUUAAA